rnacentral:rRNA from 1 species
AUUGAACGCUGGCGGCAGGCUUAACACAUGCAAGUCGAGCGAGCGGCGGACGGAUGAGUAAUGUCUGGGACACUGCCUGAUGGAGGGGGAUAACUACUGGAAACGGUAGCUAAUACCGCAUACCAUCAGAUGUGCCCAGAUGGGAUUAGCUAGUAGGUGGGGUAAUGGCUCACCUAGUCGACGCUCCCUAGCUGGUCUGAUAGGAUGACCAGCCACACUGGAACUAAGACAAGUGCCAGACUACGACGGGAGGCAGCCGGGGGGAAUAUUGCACAAUGGGCGCAAGCCUGAUGCAGCCAUGCCGGGUGAGUGAAGAAGGCCUUCGGGUUGUAAAGCACUUUCAGCGAGGAGGCGUUAAUCGCAGAAGAAGCACCGGCUAACUCCGUGCCAGCAGCCGCGGUAAUUC